UACGUAGGGGGCGAGCGUUGUCCGGAUUUAUUGGGCGUAAAGAGCUCGUAGGCGGUUUGGUAAGUUGGAUGUGAAAUCUCCAGGCUCAACUUGGAGGGGUCAUUCGAUACUGCUAUGGCUAGAGUCCGGUAGGGGAGUGUGGAAUUCCCGGUGUAGCGGUGAAAUGCGCAGAUAUCGGGAGGAACACCGAUGGCGAAGGCAGCACUCUGGGCCGGCACUGACGCUGAGGAGCGAAAGCGUGGGGAGCGAACAGG
rnacentral:rRNA from 1 species